AUUGAACGCUGGCGGCAUGCCUUACACAUGCAAGUCGAACGGCAGCACGGGUGCUUGCACCUGGUGGCGAGUGGCGAACGGGUGAGUAAUACAUCGGAACGUACCUUAUCGUGGGGGAUAACGCAGCGAAAGCUGUGCUAAUACCGCAUACGCCCUGAGGGGGAAAGCGGGGGAUCGAAAGACCUCGCGCGAUUAGAGCGGCCGAUGCCUGAUUAGCUUGUUGGUGGGGUAAAAGCCCACCAAGGCGACGAUCAGUAGCUGGUCUGAGAGGACGAUCAGCCCCACUGGGACUGAGACACGGCCCAGACUCCUACGGGAGGCAGCAGUGGGGAAUUUUGGACAAUGGGGGCAACCCUGAUCCAGCAAUGCCGCGUGAGUGAAGAGGGCCUUCGGGUUGUAAAGCUCUUUUGUCAGGGAAGAAACACCGGCUCUAACACAGUCCGGGAAUGACGGUACCUGAAGAAUAAGCACCGGCUAACUACGUGCCAGCCGCCGCAGUAA
rnacentral:rRNA from 1 species